GACGAACGCUGGCGGCGUGCUUAACACAUGCAAGUCGAACGGAGUGGCGAACGGGGGAGUAACACGUGGGUGAUCUGCCUUGCACUUCGGGAUAAGCUUGGGAAACUGGGUCUAAGACCGGAUAGUGCAAGAUGAGCUCGCGGCAUAUCAGCUUGUGGGUGGGGUAAUGGCCUACCAAGGCAUCGACGGGUAGCCGGCCUGAGAGGGUGUACGGCCACAUUGGGACUGCGAUAGGGCCCAGAUGCCUACGGGAGGCAGCAGUGGGGAAUAUUGCACAAUGGGCGGAAGUCUGAUGCAGCGACGCCGGGUGGGGGAUGAAGGCCUUCGGGUUGUAAACUCCUUUCGACAGGGACGCGGUACCUGUAUAAGAAGCACCGGCUAACUACGUGCCAGCAGCCGCGGUAAUAC
rnacentral:rRNA from 1 species